UCGAGGGGCAUCAGGAAGAAAGCUUGCUUUCUUUGCUGGCGACCGGCGCACGGGUGAGUAACACGUAUCCAACCUGCCCUUUACUCGGGGAUAGCCUUUCGAAAGAAAGAUUAAUACCCGAUAGCAUAAUGAUUCCGCAUGGUUUCAUUAUUAAAGGAUUCCGGUAAAGGAUGGGGAUGCGUCUGAUUAGCUUGUUGGCGGGGUAACGGCCCACCAAGGCGACGAUCAGUAGCCGGACUGAGAGGUUGACCGGCCACAUUGGGACUGAGAUACGACCCAGACUCC
rnacentral:rRNA from 1 species